UGGGGAAUAUUGCGCAAUGGGGGAAACCCUGACGCAGCAACGCCGCGUGAGUGAUGAAGGCCUUCGGGUCGUAAAGCUCUGUCGAGAGGAAAGAAUUUACAAGAUGCUAAUAUCAUCUUGUAUUGACGGUACCUUUAAAGGAAGCACCGGCUAACCACGUGCCAGCAGCCGCGGUAAUACGUGGGGUGCAAGCGUUGUUCGGAAUUACUGGGCGUAAAGCGCGUGUAGGCGGCUAUUUGUGUCAGGUGUGAAAGCCCUCAGCCUAACUGAGGAAGUGCGCCUGAAACUGAGUAGCUUGAGUACGAGAGAGGAGGACGGAAUUCCCAGUGUAGAGGUGAAAUUCGUAGAUAUUGGGAGGAACACCGGUGGCGAAAGCGGUUCUCUAGAUCGAUACUGACGCUAAGACGCGAAAGCGUGGGUAGCAAACAGG
rnacentral:rRNA from 1 species